CCACGCGACGGUUCUUCCCCUCCACCUCCUCCACCACGCGACGGUUCUUCCCCUCCUCCUCCUCCACCACGCGACGGUUCUUCCCCUCCUCCUCCUCCACCAAGCAAACGUGCUGCCUCUCCUCCUCCACCAGGCGACGGUUCUUCCCCUCCACCUCCUCCACCACGCGACGGUUCUUCCCCUCGCCCUCCUCCACCACGCGACGGUUCUUCCCCUCCACCUCCUCCACCACGCGACGGUUCUUCCCCUCCUCCUCCUCCACCACGUGACGGUUCUGCCCCUCCACCGCCUCCUAGUGGACCCCUUCAACAUAGAGGCCUUCUCCUCCGAACCCAAACCAAGUGUAGACGAACGAAAAGCUGAUUCCACGCAGGACUAGAAGACUGUUGUUUAUCAAAUGACAACGAAUUUAGUCUUUUACCAUUAACGACAACGAAUGGCAACCAAUUUAAAAUAUGAGUUUCCUUAUGAUGAUCUAGGCCUUUCAUGUAGUUUUGUUUUUCUUCUAUACGAUCAUGAAAUGAUAAGAGAUGAAAGAUUGGGUAAAACUAAACGGAUGCAAUGAAAAUCAAGUGCAAAGUUACAUCACUUAUUUCAUAAUUCUUUGAUCAGGUGAUAGAG